rnacentral:rRNA from 1 species
UACGUAGGGGGCAAGCGUUGUCCGGAAUCAUUGGGCGUAAAGCGCGUGUAGGCGGUUUGGUAAGUCCGCUCUGAAAGUCCGGGGCUCAACCCUCGGAUGCCGGUGGAUACUGUCGGGCUUGAGUACGGAAGAGGCGAGUGGAAUUCCUGGUGUAGCGGUGAAAUGCGCAGAUAUCAGGAGGAACACCAAUUGCGAAGGCAGCUCGCUGGGACGUUACUGACGCUGAGACGCGAAAGCGUGGGGAGCAAACAGG